rnacentral:rRNA from 1 species
AAUCUGCCCAGUCGUGGGGGAUAACGUAGGGAAACUUACGCUAAUACCGCAUGCGCCCUUCGGGGGAAAGCCGGGGACCUUCGGGCCUGGCGCGAUUGGAUGAGCCCAUGUCGGAUUAGCUAGUUGGGGGGGUAAAGGCCCACCAAGGCGACGAUCCGUAGCUGGUCUGAGAGGAUGAUCAGCCACACUGGAACUGAGACACGGCCCAGACUCCUACGGGAGGCAGCAGUAGGGAAUAUUGGACAAUGGGCGCAAGCCUGAUCCAGCCAUGCCGCGUGUGU